AACGAACGCUGGCGGCAUGCCUAACACAUGCAAGUCGAACGAUACCUUCGGGCAUAGUGGCGCACGGUUGCGUAACGCGUGGGAACCUGCCGGUAGGUUCGGAAUAACUCAGAGAAAUUUGAGCUAAUAGCGGAUGAUGUCUUCGGACCAAAGAGUUAUCGCCGUUAGAUGGGCCCGCGUUGGAUUAGCUAGUUGGUGGGGUAAAGGCCUACCAAGGCGACGAUCCAUAGCUGGUCAGAGAGGAAGAUCAGCCACACUGGGACUGAGACACGGCCCAGAAUCCUACGGGAGGGGGGAGUGGCGAAUCUAGCAAUGCGGCGGGAAGGCUGAUGGAGUUAGGCCGGUUGAGUGAUGAAGGCCUUAGCGUUGUAAAGCUCUUUUACCCGAGAUGAUAAUGACAGUACCGGGAGAAUAAGCUCCGGCUAACUACGUG
rnacentral:rRNA from 1 species